rnacentral:rRNA from 1 species
AUGAACGCUGGCGGCGUGCCUAAUACAUGCAAGUCGAGCGAACAGACGAGGAGCUUGCUCCUCUGACGUUAGCGGCGGACGGGUGAGUAACACGUGGAUAACCUACCUAUAAGACUGGGAUAACUUCGGGAAACCGGAGCUAAUACCGGAUAAUAUAUUGAACCGCAUGGUUCAAUAGUGAAAGACGGUUUUGCUGUCACUUAUAGAUGGAUCCGCGCCGCAUUAGCUAGUUGGUAAGGUAACGGCUUACCAAGGCAACGAUGCGUAGCCGACCUGAGAGGGUGAUCGGCCACACUGGAACUGAGACACGGUCCAGACUCCUACGGGAGGCAGCAGUAGGGAAUCUUCCGCAAUGGGCGAAAGCCUGACGGAGCAACGCCGCGUGAGUGAUGAAGGUCUUCGGAUCGUAAAACUCUGUUAUUAGGGAAGAAUAAAUGUGUAAGUAACUAUGCACGUCUUGACGGUACCUAAUCAGAAAGCCACGGCUAACUACGUG